GUGGGGCAGAGAUUGAAUGUGCCCGGGGCCAGGUGCGGGCAACCGAUGGAGGCCGGGAAGGGCCAGGCUGGCUGCCGGAGCCCCCUCCUGCUCCGGACACUUGGAAUACAGGUACCUCCUGUGUCCUCGGAGCAGCUCCUGGAGGUCAGCUCAUCCUUAUCCCUGCGUGCUGGGAACAGAGGUCCUGGAGACACCUGCUUUUCCUGAGUGUAAGACCACCUGGUCCCUGCCCUCAAGAAGCUUAGAAUCCAGGAGAGGAAAUGAAGCUAACCCACAGAGAGCAUGGCACCGGGACUGGCCCGCGGGAGGGGCUCGGUCAGCACCUCUGAAGAGGACUACACAGAGCACAGAGGUCUCCGUCAAAGCUUUGCAGGCUCUGGGGGAGGGGGAAAGGAGACUUUUGUGGGCUGCAGGAGCCAGAGAGGCCUUUCUGGGGGAGGCCCUGGGAGCAGGGCCUGAAGACCGCGCCGGGAGGAGGACGGGCCCCCCCCAGACCAGGGGGCUGAGGCUCAGAGAGGACCAGUAACCUGUCCGAGGUGACACCGUGUCCCACUACAGCCACAUCUGCCUCGUCCGAUUCGGGCUCUUCCAACACUCACUCAUUUGGGCUCUGUUUGCCUCAAGUCCUCCGGCCGUGCUGUUCCCUCUGCCUCCAGGCUUGUCCCUUCUCUCCCACCUCCUUAUCGUUCAAACUGCAGCUGGAAUGUCACUCCCGCAUACAGGGAGCACCUACUGUGUGACAAGCGCUGUUCUGGCCACUGACGGCGCAGCAGCGACCAGAACUGACAGAAUCCUCUGUCUUUGAGUGGACCGGUAACCCCCGAGCUUCCAUAGCGGCGGCAGCUGUCCCCCUGCGGAGCUACUGCCCCACGCUUGGGGGACACGAAUCGGCAGGAUAAACCUGGCACAUCAUCCUGAUACGUCACUCCUUUAAAUUGGCCUGGGGUGGGGAAGGAUGGGGGUGGGGGAGAAGCAUUAUCUUUUAUUUAAGCAGCACAGAUCCAUUAUGGGAUAGCAUCUCAAACUUCUGUCCACAUUUUAAGAGAAAGCCAAGCCUGAGGGAGACCCCUGGGGCCUCACCAUCAGCAUGCCCAGGCGAGGGGUGCUCUCCGUGGCCCUUUGGGGGAGAAGGUUGGAAACCUCACGUUCCAGGGAUGGAGAGCUGUCCUAGCCUGGGAAAGCCAGGCGUCCAAAGGCCUCCGGAUUCCUCCGUCUGAGCCCAGAGCAGGGAGGUCAGGAGGGUGUUGAAGCUGAGAGCCCAGGUUCAAGUUGGGGCUCUGCUCCUGCCUGCUAUUCAAGCCAUCUCACUCCUCCGGGUCCUCUUUGGCUUGUGGAUAAAACGAUGAGCUUGAACUAGAGCUUCUCUGAGAGUCCAGCAGGCCCAAAAAACCUAUCUGACUCUAAGGCCAGAAUCGGUUGCCCAGCUCAUCUGGUCCCGUGCCACCUCCCAGACCCCUCCCCUCGGUCUUCUCUCCCGCCUACCCCGCCCCCGCUUCCCCAUCCUCAGCCCCCACCUAGUGGUACCUGCUGCCUGAGACCCGGCUGAAGGCAAAGACCCUGCCCCGCCCCACCCGAGGCUCAGAGAGGAGAAAGAGGAGAGGCAGGAGGAAGGUCACAUUUCUGACUUGGCCCGCUGCCUGGUUUUCAUUAGGCCCACUGCCUAAUUUUCCUGGGCGGCACUUGCUUUCUUGGCUAGUCUCCCCUCUUUCUUAACCGUUUCAGAGGAAAAAGCUGUCACACACCCCUCCCCCCCCCAUCCCCCUGGCUGACGCUGGUAUCAUGGCCCAGAGAGCUUCCUUCUGUGUCACCCCGGUGCCUCUCGCUGCCACAUCAGCCACGUCCUCUUUACCUCCAGGCAGAGAGAGGUCUCCAGGCACAGAGAAAAGCAGCCCAAAUGGACCCAGGCUUGACUAAUAAUAACACUAAUUAUGAUCAUUAGCACUUAUCGAGCACUUACUAUGGGCCAGGCCCUGUGAACUCAGUGACUUCCUCCACCGACCUCAUGAAAUAAGGACUAUUAUGAUCGCUCCCAUUUUAUAGAUGGGGAAACUGAGGCCCAGAGAUGUUAUGCAGUGGACCUGGGACCCAAAACCAAUGCCAAGACGCAGGGAGCCUUCGAAUAUCCUUCUCCUGGUUAAGUGCACCCUUCCCCCACCCCUACACCCUUGUCUGCUGGGUCUCUCCCUGUCCGCUCCAGAAUGGGAUUAAGGGUAAGGGCCUAAGGCCCAGACAUAAGGCCUUUGGGGAAUGCACAGCGCAUUUUGAAGGUGAAGGAGGCAAGGCUGCCCAGGCAGGACUUUGGGGCCCAAAAACUGGUUCCUGGGGACUCCAUGGGCUUGCUCUUGAUGGGAGCAAGAUCAGCUGAAGGUGGCACCAAUGGGGAAAUCAAGUCACCUGGGAAGGGAUGAGGAGAGUCAGGGGCUUCAUGGGCAUAAGCAGGGCAGAGAGCUGGUGCUGCAAGCAAACCAGUCCCAUCGGUGGACUCAGUGGAUGUGGAGCAGGGAAGAGAGCACUUGGAACUCUAGUUGAUGUCCUAGCUGGAGGGGGGGACCGCCGCCUUUGCACCCAAAGGGGGCGGGAGUAUGCUGCUCUCACCAGCCACAAGACCACCCCCUCCCCCCUAGGAAGGAAUACCCAGCUCUCCUGGGACCCAGCACUCGGCUGGUACCACUGGGGCUGCCCAGCUCCUCUGGCCAGGCCUGCGAUAAAAAUCCUGCAGUGAUCCGAGUCAGAGACACAGACAGAGAGAAAAGGGGAAAAAAACCCUCCAGUGUCUGACAUUCUUUUUAGGAUGCCCAUAAAAGAUAAUGUGACCUGUAAAAUUGGCAAGCUGCUUCCCAGCCUGUGGCACCCGGGGCCCCCACGCCCCGCUCCGCCCCCCCACCCCCCACCCCCCACCCCCCGCCCAGGUCCACUCUCUUGCCCUCAGGCCGAGGGCGCUACCCUGGGGACCCUCAGGCUGGGGGAGACAGCAGCCCCAAGGCUCUGUGGUCUGCCCAGGUGGGGCCCCUUCCUCCACUUCCUCCUCCCCUCACACCAACCCCCCCCCACCCCUUCCCAGGGCCCUCCGGUCCGCUGAGCGGUUGCUGCCAGGCCAGGGGGCGGGAAUGUGCCAGGACAGGUGCGCUCUGCUCUUGCUCUCUCGCUCUCCCAGGUGAGUCACCCCUGUGGGAGGAUGUUGAUGAAUCGGAACCCGGGCUCUUUGUUUGCAGCUCCUGGGAAUUCACGCACUGGGGGCUGUGGCCAGGCAGCACUGAGAGAUGGGAGUCAGGAGGCGGGGGUUCGAGUCCCAGCCUCGCCACCCGCCGGCUGCUUGAAACUGUGUCCGUUCGGAGCUGAUUUAGGUCUCAGUUUCUCUACCCCGGAAACAGGCCUAAAAAUCAUGUCCUUUGUAAUUUUGCUGGAAGGUAAUAAAGCAGA